rnacentral:antisense_RNA from 1 species
CUUCACCGAGCCCAGCAGCAGUGGCGCCGCGCGGUGCUGGCCGUAGGUGGCGAGCAGGGCCUGCGCCUC